ACGCUGGCGGCGUGCUUAACACAUGCAAGUCGAACGAUGAAGCCUAGCUUGCUAGGUGGAUUAGUGGCGAACGGGUGAGUAAUACGUGAGUAACCUACCUUUAACUCUGGGAUAAGCCUGGGAAACUGGGUCUAAUACCGGAUACGACCAAUCUCCGCAUGGGUGUUGGUGGAAAGCGUUAUGUAGUGCUUAUAGAUGGGCUCACGGCCUAUCAGCUUGUUGGUGAGGUAACGGCUCACCAAGGCGACGACGGGUAGCCGGCCUGAGAGGGUGACCGGCCACACUGGGACUGAGACACGGCCCAGACUCCUACGGGAGGCAGCAGUGGGGAAUAUUGCACAAUGGGCGCAAGCCUGAUGCAGCGACGCCGCGUGAGGGAUGACGGCCUUCGGGUUGUAAACCUCUGUUAGCAGGGAAGAAGAGAGAUUGACGGUACCUGCAGAGAAAGCGCCGGCUAACUACGUGCCAGCAGCCGCGGUAAUACGUAGGGCGCGAGCGUUGUCCGGAAUUAUUGGGCGUAAAGAGCUUGUAGGCGGUUUGUCGCGUCUGCUGUGAAAGGCCGGAGCUUAACCCCGUGUAUUGCAGUGGGUACGGGCAGACUAGAGUUCAGUAGGGGAGACUGGAAUUCCUGGUGUAACGGUGGAAUGCGCAGAUAUCAGGAGGAACACCGAUGGCGAAGGCAGGUCUCUGGGCUGUAACUGACGCUGAGAAGCGAAAGCAUGGGGAGCGAACAGGAUUAGAUACCCUGGUAGUCCAUGCCGUAAACGUUGGGCACUAGGUGUGGGGGACAUUCCACGUUUUCCGCGCCGUAGCUAACGCAUUAAGUGCCCCGCCUGGGGAGUACGGCCGCAAGGCUAAAACUCAAAGAAAUUGACGGGGGCCCGCACAAGCGGCGGAGCAUGCGGA
rnacentral:rRNA from 1 species